GUCCCUUCAUCAUCUUAGUGGCCUUCUGCUGGACUCGCUCCAGUACGUCCAUAUCUCUCUUGUAUCGGGGAGCCCAGAACUGGACACAGUACUCCGGAUGCGGCCUCACCAGGGCUGAGUAGAGGGGGAGGAUCACCUCCCUCAACCUGCCGGCAAUGCUCUUCCUAAUGCACCCCAGGAUACCAUUGGCCUUCUUGGCCACAAGGGCACAUUGCUGGCUCAUGGUUAACUUCUUGUCCACCAGGACCCCCAGGACCUUCUCCACAGAGCUGCUUUCCAGAAGGUCAUCCCCCAGCCUGUGCUGGUACAUGAGGUUAUUCCUCCCUAGGUGCAGGACCCUGCACUUGCCUUUGUUGAACUUCAUGAGGUUCCUCUCUGCCCAUCUCUCCAGCCUGUCCAGGUCCCUCUGAAUGGCAGCACAGCCCUCUGGUGUAUCAGCCACUCCUCCCAGUUUUGUAUCAUCAGCAAACUUGCUGAGGGUGCACUCUGUCCCUUCAUCCAGGUCACUGAUGAAGAAGUUGAACAAUAUUGGACCCAGCAUUGACCCCUGGGGCACACCGCUAGUUACUGGCCUCCAAGUAGACUUUGCACUGCUGAGCACAACCCUCUGAGCUUUGCCAUUCAGCCAGUUUUCAGUCCACCUCCCUGUCUGCUCAUCUAGCUUGCACUUCCUCAGCUUGCCUAUGAGGAUCUUAUGAGAGACAGUGUCAAAAGCCUUGCCGAAGCCAAGGGAGACAACAUCCACUGCUCUCCCCUCCUCUACCCAGCGAGUCAUCCCAUCACAGAAGGCUCUCAGGCUGGUUAAGCAUGAUUUCCCCUUUGUGAAUCCAUGCUGACUACUACUGAUCACCUUCUUAUCCUUCAUGAGCCUGGAAAUGGUAUCCGGGAUGAGCUGUUCCAUCAUCUUCCCAAGGAUUGAGGUGAGGCUGCCUGGCCUGUAGUUCUGGAAAAGGAAAGUCAAACAAAGGAAUUCAGAUCUCGUUAUGCACUGAUUUACUGAAAGAUCAGGAGUGCUUAUAAGCCGGCAUACUGUUUCACAACUUCAAUGCACUCUGGCAAACAGAAAGACACAACACAAGCAGCUACUGAUCAACAACCUUACAACGUUAACUGAUAAGAGCAAUGGCCAGAACAUGGAACUAUUCCUGUGAGUCAAGACUUCAGCAAUACCUUGAUAUUUGUGAAUUAUGCAGAAUUUGCUUAUAAUACACAGACUUAUCCAGCUCUAUUGCCUAGAGAAAAACACAUUUUAUCAUCACUAUUCAUGCCUUCCAUUCUUGACACCUCUUUGAAAGUACAAGAAGUGCUGCCUUGUGUAACACUGUGGUCAUCCGCUCUAGGGAGAGAUUCCUGCUACAUUAUGAGUUGGUGGUAAGCCUUACUUUCUGGCAUAAUAAAAAUAGAUGGUCUGUCAAAAGAUGAUGUUCUCAAUGCUUUGUUUUGUAGUUCUAUCCUGCCAUCUUCUCUGAAUUAGCAAAUGUGAAAUGCAGCAUAUGGAUUUAUGAAAAGAAAAGUGCAAGAUGUGAAAUAUCCUGAGUAUCUGGAUCUUCGAACAUACGCAUCUCAAUCCGUUGGAGAACCACUCCUCUAUGCCUUAUAUGCAGUCCUGGUAUAUAGAGGUGUCAGUAGUCAUGCAGGACGUUAUUUCUGCUACACAAAGGUAAAUAACAAUUUCAUUUCUAACAGGGUGAGCUCUGUGCUGGUGAGGAGGUACUUGCAUGAAAACUUUACUGGUAACCACUGCUUUUAGGGAAAAAGGUUUUAUUUCAUGUUUAAUUUGAUCUUUUUUGGUGUAUUCUCUGUUCUGAAGAGUUCUCUUUGUGUUUUCAUUUAGAAAGUGUGCAGUUCCUCUGAAGACAUGGCUGCUUUUAUUUGCAGGCUGCUGGUAGACUUUGAUCUGAGAUGAAUGAUGCCUCUGUAGUCUUUUGUGAAAUCAAAAUGGUUCUCAGUCAGCAAGCUUAUUUACUUUUUAAUAUCAGAAAUCAAGUCAUUUAAAUGGAAAUGAACCCCUAAAAGAAGAUCCAAAUACCAUUGCUGUUACCCUAGAAAGGCCUUCUUCGGCUCCACCAACAGCUUGUGUUCAAAACUAGGCAAUUACCAGGCCUUUAUUUGCUGAUCCCUCAGAAAAACAAAAGAUCACUUCAUAACAAACUGCCUGCACAUCAAACUGUCUCAGCCUGACUGUUUUAGCAGUGCUGUGGUGGAUGAGGAUCUAAACAAGCCUGUUCCUUCAUCCACAGUGUGGCGGACAGAUGAGUGAAUUUUUGCCUUAAACGUUUCUUGGUACAUAAGGUGAAAGCCUUCCUGCGCACAUUGCAGAUUUUGCAGGAAACCAUAACCCCGAACAAGCCAUCUGUUCCCUGUGGAAACAGGACGGAGCUGCUGCAACCCCGAAAUGGUCUCCCUGCGACCACUCAGGACACACCGAGCCUGCGAAAAACCAGACCACGAUCAGGCAGAGACUUUUGGACCUGGAGUGUAAAUUAUUGCUGCUUAGCACAACUUCCAUAAAACUUGCUUAGCAUGAGCAGCUAAAUUUGCUGAAGCCUUAGGCCGCACUCCUAGUUCAGUCAGAAAGGGCCCCAGAGCUGGUGCAGGCUGGAAAGAUAAGGGAGUUACAAGCAGUCCGCAUUCCUGUGCCCCACACUCCGGGAGGGAGGAGG